AGUGCCACAAUAGUUGUUUGGUGAUUGUUGAUUGAUUGCUUUUUCAAAUUACAUUGUUAUUUCAUCUCCUUAAUCCGUGUGUAUAACUGCGAUGGUGCGAGUUCUCAUUUUAUUGGACUAUUUAAAUGGAAAAGAGAGUGUUAGUUGUUAGUGUGGAGGAACGCUACCAUUCUUCGGUGGAGAAUCCGAAAUAAUGCCAUCGGCAGGGCCUUUGAGAUUUCGGACUUCCGAGUUCAGGUCUCAUAGGUUAUCCAAGGCAUUGUUCAAAAGGCCAUGAAUUGACUCCUCUCUUGUCUCGUCGACAAAGGACAAAUAAAAUUUCCGUGGAAUGUAAGGGGACUCGCAAUAUCCAUUACGUUUGUGGCUAUAUUAUAUUUGUUCCUGACAAUGCAGAAGAAUAUUAUAUUGAUUUUCACUGUAGAGCCAGAAACACCAUUGAACGGGGCAUUGGGGAAUUGAAAGCGAUGUGAAGAUUUUUGCUUUCACAGAGUUUCGCAUUAUCAUGAUAGCACUGUUACAAAAAUUAUGAAUGCCUGCUCGGUAUCACAUAACAUUGUCAAUGGAGCUACACUUACACCAAGAAGAGUCUACCAAAGAUUCUACGAGACAAAUUCCUGCAAUAACAGCUCUGAAUCAUCCCAGUUCGAGUUAGAAAGAGGCCACAGUCAAAAGGCAAUAAUAAUACUGAGGUUAUGGAGAAGCAGAUAAGAAUGUUAAGCCAUUGGUCCUCAGAAAAAUUAUGUAUGUAUAUGUACACAGCACUAUGCACACAAUUUUAUAUUGUAUUACUAGAUAGUUAGACAGCGUUCUUCUUGUUCCAUAUAAUAUCAAAAUUUGACUUGUUUGUUAAAAGUACUAGACAGUAAGUAGUUAGUAAAGUAUUUUCUUGUAUUAUUAAGAGCUAAAGAUUCAUGCGGCCUAUGGGUCAACUACACCCAUAACCUCUGAGCGUCUUGAGUUUUGUAUAAUAAUAUAUUAAGGAUUCUGUUGCAACUGCCACGUUUCUACAGUGCAUCAGGAAUGUUUGCUAACUCUCAUGUAGACGGCUUUGCAGCUAUUAUUACUAUUGCAAAAAACAUUGGCUUCCUUGAUGUGCUGAAUUUGUGGCAGCAGUAAUGGCCUCCUAAGUGUUAUUGCAUUCAGGGUACAGGGUAUGAUACUAAGAAUAAUAACAAUUAACCACUAGUUUGUCUUAAUUAUUUUUUGAGUAAUGGUACAAUAUCCACUAGGGCUUGGACUGUAUUUGAGCGGCUUCAGCUUGAAACAUUGCAGCUUUGGCAUUGGUUUUAGAUACAUUUGCAAUUAUUUCAAUUACUUAAAUUUUCUUCACUCUAAGUGUCCAUUGUGCAUUACUUUUAUUUGUUCCACUGCCAAGAACAUUUAUUUGGUGGCUAAUUCGUUCCACAGCCUUUCAGAUGUCUCUUGUGAACUUCCACAUAGACUAAAGCCUUUAUCCAAUGCUGGGUGUCUUAGAAGAUGGUCAAAUAACAUUUCUAGCUGACCGUUUGAGACGCGACUUUCCAUCUUCCCACAGUCUGAAUAUCACGACACCAAAACAGUGGUAAUAUGAACGAAAUGAAUCCAUAGAAGCAGAACUCAAUAAUGUAGACAUAGUUGGCAUUUUUAUUAUAGUGAUUUAUACUUUUUGUCGAACACUUAACUUUCAAGUGUUAGUGAAUCGUCACUGCAAUUCAAACUUUCUUGGGUAAACAAAA